UAAGGAAUAUUGGGCAAUGGAGGCAACUCUGACCCAGCCAUCCCGCGUGAAGGAUUAAGGCCCUAUGGGUUGUAAACUUCUUUUGUUUGGGAAGAAAUCUAGACAUUUAUGUGUAGUUGACGGUACCUUACGAAUAAGCACCGGCUAACUCCGUGCCAGCAGCCGCGGUAAUACGGAGGGUGCAAGCGUUAUCCGGAAUCACUGGGUUUAAAGGGUGCGUAGGCGGUUUGAUAAGUCAGAGGUGAAAGCUAGCAGCUUAACUGUUAAAUUGCCUUUGAUACUGUCAGACUUGAAUCAAGUUGAGGUAGGCGGAAUGUGACAUGUAGCGGUGAAAUGCAUAGAUAUGUCAUAGAACACCAAUUGCGUAGGCAGCUUGCUGGGCUUGAAUUGACGCUGAGGCACGAAAGCGUGGGGAUCAAGCAGGAUUAGAUACCCUGGUAGUCCACGCCCUAAACGAUGUUAACUCGAUAUUUAUUCUACGGAGUGAGUGUCCAAGCGAAAGCGUUAAGUUAACCACCUGGGGAGUACGUUCGCAAGAAUG
rnacentral:rRNA from 1 species